rnacentral:misc_RNA from 1 species
GAUGAAGAACGUAGCGAAAUGCGAUAAGUAAUGUGAAUUGCAGAAUUCAGUGAAUCAUCGAAUCUUUGAAUGCACAUUGCGCCCGCUAGUAUUCUGGCGGGCAUGCCUGUCCGAGCGUCAUUUCAACCCUCAAGCCCCCGGGCUUGGUGUUGGGGAUCGGCGAGCCUCCGCGCCCGCCGUCCCCUAAAUCUAGUGGCGGUCUCGCUGUAGCUUCCUCUGCGUAGUAGCACACCUCGCACUGGGAAACAGCGCGGCCACGCCGUUAAACCCCCAACUUCUGAACGUUUGACCUCGGAUCAGGUAGGAAUACCCGCUGAACUUAAGCAUAUCAAUAAGCGGAGGA